rnacentral:rRNA from 1 species
CCUACGGGAGGCUGCAGUGAGGAAUAUUGGUCAAUGGCCGGAAGGCUGAACCAGCCAUGCCGCGUGAAGGUCAGUGCCCUAUGGGCGUUAAACUUCUUUUUUGCGGGAGCAAUAAUGGGCACGUGUGGCCAGACGAGCGUAGCGUACGAAUAAGCAUCAGCUAACUCCGUGCCAGCAGCCGAGGUAAUACGGGGGAUGCAAGCGUUAUCCGGGUUUGUUGGGUUUAAAGGGAGCGUAGAUGGGUUGUUAAGGCAGUUGGGAAAGUUUGCGGCUCAACCUUAAAAUUGCACUUGAUACUGGCAGUCUUGAGUACUGUUGAGGUAGGCGGAAUUCGUGGUGUAGCGGUGAAAUGCUUAGAUAUCACGAAGAACCCCGAUUGCGAAGGCAGCUUACUAAACUGUGACUGACAUUGAUGCUCGAAAGUGUGGGUAUCAAACAGGAUUAGAUACCCCGGUAGUC